UAACAUUGAGACGAGUGGCGAACUGGUGAGUAACACGUGGGUAACCUGCCCUUGAAGUAGGGGAUAACACUUGGAAACAGGUGCUAAUACCGUAUAACAACCAAAACCACCUGGUUUUGGUUUAAAAGACGGCUUCGGCUGUCACUUUAGGAUGGACCCGCGGCGUAUUAGCUUGUUGGUAAGGUAACGGCCUACCAAGGCGAUGAUACGUAGCCGACCUGAGAGGGUAAUCGGCCACAUUGGGACUGAGACACGGCCCAAACUCCUACGGGAGGCAGCAGUAGGGAAUCUUCCACAAUGGACGAAAGUCUGAUGGAGCAACGCCGCGUGAGUGAUGAAGGGUUUCGGCUCGUAAAACUCUGUUGUUGGAGAAGAACAGGUGUCAGAGUAACUGUUGACAUCUUGACGGUAUCCAACCAGAAAGCCACGGCUAACUACGUGCCAGCAGCCGCGGUAAUACGUAGGUGGCAAGCGUUGUCCGGAUUUAUUGGGCGUAAAGCGAGCGCAGGCGGUUUUUUAGGUCUGAUGUGAAAGCCUUCGGCUUAACCGGAGAAGUGCAUCGGAAACCGGGAGACUUGAGUGCAGAAGAGGACAGUGGAACUCCAUGUGUAGCGGUGAAAUGCGUAGAUAUAUGGAAGAACACCAGUGGCGAAGGCGGCUGUCUGGUCUGUAACUGACGCUGAGGCUCGAAAGCAUGGGUAGCGAACAGGAUUAGUAG
rnacentral:rRNA from 1 species